rnacentral:rRNA from 1 species
UACAGGGGUCCCGAGCGUUGUUCGGAUUCAUUGGGCGUAAAGGGUGCGUAGGCGGUGGGGUAAGUUGGAUGUGAAAUCUUGGGGCUUAACCUCAAAAUUGCAUUCAAUACUGCUCCGCUAGAAUUCUGUAGAGGAGAUUGGAAUUUACGGUGUAGCAGUGAAAUGCGUAGAUAUCGUAAGGAACGCCAGUGGCGAAAGCGAAUCUCUGGGCAGCAACUGACGCUGAGGCACGAAGGCCAGGGGAGCAAACGGG